UGGAGGACUGAGAAGAUAAGGCAGUUAAUCUGUACUGCAUCUUAUUGGUUAAAACCUCCAAAAUCAAAACUGCAAAAGCAAGUCAUGUUCCUCUUACCUGAGAGAGAACACUACUGCUGUUUGCAUACA